rnacentral:tRNA from 1 species
AAGGAUUUAGGUUAAAUUAAACCAAUAGCCUUCAAAGCUAUAAAUAAAGAAGACUUUAAGCCUUA